GGGAUGCUGGCAAGAGUGGAAAGUGAAUCUUGUGACCGAGUGCACUGGGGCUGAGCUGCUCAGGAAAAUGAUAAUGAAGUGGAGGAGCUCUAUUUUUAAUGGGGGACAAAGGCAGAAAGGUAGCAGGAGGACCCGACCUCCCUUGGUGGGAGGGAGAGGAAGGGAGAGAGGAAGGAAGAAAUGCACUUCUUUUCACAGAUACACAGGUCAAUAACUAAAUACGUAACAAUGAAGUUUAAAUUUAAACACCAAGUUAUUUUUUCAACAAUGGUUCUGUAUAUGAUAGGUCCAAACGAUGACCUUUCUUUGCUGAUGCUGGAAGAAAUCCAAGAUACUACAGGAAGAAGUUGGAUCUUCAGGUGGCACGAAGCAGAAACAGCCAAGCCAUUCCUGAGAGGCCUUCUGCUGAGGAGACAUCUUUGGGGGAGUCCACUGCCCAGAUCCUACCAGGGAAGGAAAGGACAAGUCAAGGAUAGGAAGGAAAGAAGAGAAAACCAAGGGAAAUAUUGGGCUGCCUUCUUCAGCAUCCUCUUUCCUUCACCUCAACCAUCCCCGAGCAGAUGCCCCUAGACAGGAGAAGAGAGUAUCUAGCAGGAGAGAGUUGGGAAAGCACAGCAGGAAAGCCUUUCUGAUGCUGUGAAAACCACUAAUAAAGAAAGAAAUAUUCUGAUGAAUUACUCAAGGAUGCAGUAUUGAUUAUGUGUAUCCAUAAAAAAAGGAAGAAACCUACAUAAUUCCUGUUGUUAAACAACAAUUAAUGCUGAAAUUUUUUUCCACCUCUUUAAGACUACUGUCAGAAAAAUAAUAUAAUAACACUAUAAAUAAAAUAAGCAGUAUAAUAAACAACAUCUCAAAAACUGGUGCACUACUCAGGUGUACACAUUUGCUGUAGUGGUCAAAUACUAUUUUUACAGUAAACACUUCAUUAAUGCCGACAAGGUAUAAAGGUCUUGGAAAAGCAGAAUAAAUCCAUUAAACCCCAAAUAUUAUUGCUUUUUUUUUGCAACUGAUGCAAACCAAUUGUAUUACAUUCCUUGAACAUUCCCUACUCGUAAAGUGAGGAGUCACAAGUUUCAGGUAUUUUUAAAAAUGGUACUGAUGAUUCAGUUCCAAGUUUUAUUCUGUUUGGUUUUGAUGUAUUUUUGACACCCAUUCAUACAAAUGGAGCAAACAAGCUAGUUAUUUCUCUUCCUCACUGCUAAUUUUCACUUGUAGUUGGCUACAGAGGAUAAUUCUAAGUUGGUUGGCUUUCAAUCACAUUUUCUAUCUACCACAUUGUAAACUUUCUUGGAAACUUCUUCUGAUCUUAAAAAAAUAACAACAAAACAAAACCUGUUUAAAUUAAACCUUUAACUUUGAGUAAAAUGUCAUUAUUCUUGUUUUGCACUUAUUUUGAAGAAUAAAGUAAAAAAAUUGGCUUCUAUUGAUAUAACAUUGUACUAGUUUUGAACACGUAUAUUUAUAUUUUAGAUAAUUUGUUAGACACAGAUGGAGAAUGAUUUUAUUCUCGUCUAAAGCAGCUUGAUUUUUUUUUAACAAACCUGGUGACAAACAUGCUCAUGCCAAUAUUUUACUUCACAUAAUAAAAAAGUGAACUUCCUU